rnacentral:rRNA from 1 species
GAUGAACGCUGGCGGCGUGCCUAAUACAUGCAAGUCGAGCGAACAGACGAGGAGCUUGUUCCUCUGACGUUAGCGGCGGACGGGUGAGGAACACGUGGACAACCUACCUAUAAGACUGGCAUAACUUCGGGAAACCGGAGCUAAUACUGGAUAAUAUAUUCAACCGCAUGGUUCAAUAGAGAAAGACGGAUUUGCUAUCAGUGAUAGAUGGAGCGGCGCCGCAUUAGCUUGUUGGUAAGGUAACGGCUUACCAAGGCGACGAUGCGUAGGCGACCUGAGAGGGUGAUCAGCCACACUGGAAUUGAGCCACGGUCCAGACUCCUCCGGGACGCAAGGGUGGAGAAUCUUCCGCAAUGGGCGGAAGCCUGGCGGGACCCCGCCGCGUGGGUGAUAGGAGUCUUCGCAUCUUAAAACUCUGUUAUUUGGGAAAAACAAUUGUGUAAGUAACUAUGCACGUCUUGACGGUACCUUAUCAAAAAGCCACGGCUAACUACGUG